ACUGCCUCAUUUAACCCCCAAGGAGGUGGGUCCUGUUAUUACCCUGACCUUACAGAGGAGGAGACUGAGGCACCAGAGCUCAAGUAGCCUACUGAGGUCACACAUGAGCCUACAUGAGCCAUGGAGUGGAGUGACCAACUGGAGGCACGACCAAAUCGGGCAACACACAGCCAGGAUCUUAAAGGGAAGAGAUGACCAGGAGGAGGGAAGACAGGAGGAUGGGAGAGGAGAUUGGUGCCUGAUUGUGUUUGGACACAGUAGGGUUCUUAUGAGCGGAGGAUGGGAGGGGGAAGGUUGAGCAUCCAUCUCUCCCAUCUCCUGUGGCCAGGUCUGUUACAGCAGCCAGCCCUGCACGCCUUCCCCAACAGCCUCGCUGGGGCAGUUCAUGGUUCAAAGCCUACAGCCCUCCAUCUGAGUUACUAGACUCAUAUAUAGGCUGUACCUUCUGCCCAUGGCUGUGGGGAACCAGGACUGCAGAGGAAGCAUGUGAGUGAAGCCACCGGAAGCAAGCAAAUGGAACAAAACCAGCACCACGACCACCACCACCACCACCACCACCAUCACCACCAUCACCACAAUACAAAUACUCUCUUUGAUUGGUCCUCUGGGUAGAUAAAAU
rnacentral:lncRNA from 1 species